GACUCUCGGCAACGGAUAUCCCGGCUCUCGCAUCGAUGAAGAACGUAGCGAAAUGCGAUACUUGGUGUGAAUUGCAGAAUCCCGUGAACCAUCGAGUCUUUGAACGCAAGUUGCGCCCGAGGCCACUAGGCUAAGGGCACGUCUGCCUGGGUGUCACGC
rnacentral:rRNA from 1 species